rnacentral:rRNA from 1 species
UACGAAGGGGGGCGAGCGUUGUUCGGAAUUACUGGGCGUAAAGGGCGCGCAGGCGGCUCUGAAAGUCAGAUGUGAAAGCCCCGGGCUUAACCUGGGAAUUGCAUUUGAUACUCUGGAGCUUGAGUACGGGAGAGGAGAGUGGAAUUCCCAGUGUAGAGGUGAAAUUCGUAGAUAUUGGGAAGAACACCAGUGGCGAAGGCGGCUCACUGGCCCGGUACUGACGCUGAGGUGCGAAAGCGUGGGGAGCAAACAGG